GAUGAACGCUGGCGGCGUGCCUAAUACAUGCAAGUCGAGCGAACAGACGAGGAGCUUGCUCCUCUGACGUUAGCGGCGGACGGGUGAGUAACACGUGGAUAACCUACCUAUAAGACUGGGAUAACUUCGGGAAACCGGAGCUAAUACCGGAUAAUAUAUUGAACCGCAUGGUUCAAUAGUGAAAGACGGUUUUGCUGUCACUUAUAGAUGGAUCCGCGCUGCAUUAGCUAGUUGGUAAGGUAACGGCUUACCAAGGCAACGAUGCGUAGCCGACCUGAGAGGAGGAUCAGCCACACAGGAACUAAGGCACGGCGCUGACUCCUACGGGAGGGAGCAGCAGGGAAUAUUUCUCAAGGGGCGGAAGAAUGACGGAGCAACCCCGCGUGGGUGAUGAAGGCCUUCGGGUCGUAAAACACUUUUGUUAGUAAAGAAAAAAAGUAUAAUAAAAUUUUCACAUCCUGACGGUAGCUAAUGAAAAAGCAACGGCGAACUACGUG
rnacentral:rRNA from 1 species